GACGAACGCUGGCGGCAGGCUUAAUACAUGCAAGUCGAGCGGGCACUUCGGUGUCAGCGGCGCACGGGUGCGUAACGCGUGGGAACAUGCCCUUAGGUACGGAACACCCAAGGGAAACUUUGGCUAAUACCGUAUAAUAUCUCUGGAUCAAAGAUCUAUCGCCUAAAGAUUGGCCCGCGUUAGAUUCGGUAGUUGGUGGGGUAAUGGCCUACCAAGCCGACGAUCUAUAGGGGGUCUGAGAGGAUGAUUCCCCACACUGGAACUGAGACACGGUCCAGACUCCUACGGGAGGCAGGAGUAAGGAAUAUUGGACAAUGGGGGAAGGCCUGAUCCAGCCGUGCCGGGUGAGUGAUGAAGGCCUUAGGGUUGUAAAGCUCUUUUAGAUGGGAAGAUAAUGACGGUACCAGCAGAAUAAGCCCCGGCUAAAUUCGUG
rnacentral:rRNA from 1 species